UACAGUAAAAGCUGGGGAGGUGUGUAGGGCUCCAGUCUUUGGGUUCACAGCUUGGCUCUACAUUCAUUGCUGGAGGAAUCCAAGCCUCACAAAAGACCGCUUUUAAAGAAAAACUCUAUUUUUCUUAGAAGAACUAGAAUAUGUAACACCAUUGUGAGAAAUAAAACCCCAAGGUGAACAAGAUUGAAAGUGAAGGCAGCGCUCUAAGGAGGAAGCCAGCUGGCUUGAAUGGUGAUGUAAACAGCCUUGGAGCUUUAACCAAACUUGAGUAAGAACUCCCUGACUUGGAAACACUCAAGUUUCCCACACAUGACUGGAUGGCCCUGGCCACACUGGGAACGGAAUGGGGGCCUCCCAUUGGAACUCAGGGUGGAGGGGGAAGCUCGACCAGCUAUUGUGGCCCCCACUUCCAUUGACAAAAUACAAGUGAAAUCACAAUGACAUCAAUAAUCCUGAAUUUCUUCUUCACACUCACUCAUGAAAAGUCUCCGAUUUUCCCACCUUGCUCAGCCACCUUAAGUGCCUUCCUUCAAGAUAUUUCCUACUGCUUCUAAAGAGGAUCUCCCAUUGGCUUGGGAGCAGCGUGAGAAGAGACUUGUACACAGAGAGGCUGGGCAACUUGUACAUGGUUGCACAGAUGUCCAGAGGCAGUGCUGAGAUGUGAACACAGGAAGACUGGAUUCAGCAUCUGUGCUACUAACCAGGACACUAUGAAGUCUCUCAUACCUGUGGUACUAGGAAAAUCAGAGAAAAUUUCAAGGAGGGUGGGGCAUUAGAAGCUGACUAUGGAGGAACCGGUAGGAGUUGGAUGUUUGGAAAUAGAGGGCAGGGCAUUGCAGGUAGAGAAUGGGAGUGUAUUCUGGAUGCCAACACAUCUGUGGCGGUCCUAAGAUCAGGAAUAGAUGGUCUGUAUCUUCAGUAUGACUUAAUGUUUCUGAGUGUAAGACUUAAUCUCCAUUUGAAAAAGGAUAAAAAGAAGGAAAAAAAAUAAAAGCUAUUACGUUUCUG
rnacentral:lncRNA from 10 species